GACGAACGCUGGCGGCGUGCCUAAUACAUGCAAGUCGAACGAGAGCGACCGGUGCUUGCACUGGUCAAUCUAGUGGCGAACGGGUGAGUAACACGUGGGUAACCUGCCCAUCAGAGGGGGAUAACAUCCGGAAACGGAUGCUAAAACCGCAUAGGUCUUCGAACCGCAUGGUUUGAAGAGGAAAAGAGGCGCAAGCUUCUGCUGAUGGAUGGACCCGCGGUGCAUUAGCUAGUUGGUGGGGUAACGGCUCACCAAGGCCGUGAUGCAUAGCCGACCUGAGAGGGUGAUCGGCCACAUUGGGACUGAGACACGGCCCAAACUCCUACGGGAGGCAGCAGUAGGGAAUCUUCCGCAAUGGACGCAAGUCUGACGGAGCAACGCCGCGUGAGUGAAGAAGGUGUUCGGAUCGUAAAACUCUGUUGUUAGAGAAGAACAAGUGCUAGAGUAACUGUUAGCGCCUUGACGGUAUCUAACCAGAAAGCCACGGCUAACUACGUG
rnacentral:rRNA from 1 species